rnacentral:rRNA from 1 species
GAUGAACGCUGGCGGCGUGCCUAAUACAUGCAAGUCGAGCGAACGGACGAGAAGCUUGCUUCUCUGAUGUUAGCGGCGGACGGGUGAGUAACAUGUGGAUAACCUACCUAUAAGACUGGGAUAACUUCGGGAAACCGUAGCUAAUACCGGAUAAUAUUUUGAACCGCAUGGUUCAAAAGUGAAUGCCGGUCUUGCUGUCACUUAUAGAUGGAUCCGCGCUGCAUUAGCUAGUUGGUAAGGUAACGGCUUACCAAGGCAACGAUGCAUAGCCGACCUGAGAGGGUGAUCGGCCACACUGGAACGGGGACACGGUCCAGACUCCUGCGGGAGGCAGCAGUAGGGAAUCUUCCGCAGUGGGCGAAAGCCUGACGGAGCAACGCCGCGUGAGUGAUGAAGGUCUUCGGAUCGUAAAACUCUGUUAUUAGGGAAGAACAUAUGUGUAAGUAACUGUGCACAUCUUGACGGUACCUAAACAGAAAGCCACGGCUAACUACGUG